AUAAGAAAGCCGACUGCAAAUGUGGGGAAACCAUCGCGCGCCUUGACAAGAUGAUAGUCGAUCUAACUGAACUAGUUAGCACCUCACGAGCCGAAACAAAAGUGGCCGAUGAAGUUCAUGCUUUAAGAGCCGACCAAAAAGUGACGCAGGACAAAAUCGAGGUACUAGUAGAAGCUUUCUCAGAGCAAACAGAAACUGUCAAGGGGAUGACGAAGCAAGAAGGCUAGCAAGUUUCCUGUUCCUGAACUCAGUAAUAAACAUUGCAAACCGAGAGCUCUGUGUAUGUAUAAAUACCGACAAAAAUUUUCUUUUAACCGCAAUUCGUAUUUAUUUCGUUAACAGAUUGAUGCAAUAAAAAACAUAAUUGUCAAUGGCGGAAUUUUAAAAAAUCUGAGAAAUCUUAUGGCUAAUGAGGUGGUUUUGGCUUAUAAUAUAGAUGGUGUUCAGGGGAAAGCGGCCUUAAGAAAGGAAAUAGAUUUCUAUGGUGUUAUGAUUGAUUCCAUAAAUGCAGUUGGAGGUAUUGGGUCAGCUGAGGACCAGCUGCGAGAGGCCUUGCAGCUCCAAAAAAAGAGGCACUUU